CUGGAGUCGACUCGGUGAACAUCGGAGUCGACUCGCGCACUUCAGGAGUCGACUCGCUGACAGUAUUUUGAGUUGAUGCUUUCUGUUCGUCUGUCUGUUCUAAGUCGGAGUCGACUCGUACUUAUCCGGAGUCGACUCGAGCCCGUGCCAGUGAACUUGAUACGCUUGGAGUCGACUCGUGAUACUCUGGAGUCGACUCGAGUCUCAGACUUUGGUUCAGGCUGACUUCUUAACUUAUCCAAAAUAUUAUGAACCAAGUCUAAAGACACUUAGACAAGAUUUUCACUGAAACACUUAAUUGAAUUCAUUAGUAAGCAAGAGAUAUACUCAAAUGCUUUGAGCUCAUCAAAAUCAAAUAGGGUUUUAAUCAAUCACUCCACA
rnacentral:lncRNA from 1 species